rnacentral:rRNA from 1 species
GAUCAUGGCUCAGGAUGAACGCUAGCUACAGGCUUAACACAUGCAAGUCGAACGAAGCACUUUAUUACAAUUUCUUCGGAAUGACGAUUUAGUGACUGAGUGGCGGACGGGUGAGUAACGCGUGGGUAACCUGCCUUAUACAGGGGGAUAACAGUUAGAAAUGACUGCUAAUACCGCAUAAGCGCACAGGAUUGCAUGAUCUGGUGUGAAAAACUCCGGUGGUAUAAGAUGGACCCGCG